CUUAAUCUCCAAAUAAAGACAAUAACAAGGUCAUAAUUCUGCAUGGCAUAGUACAAUUAUCCUGCAUUCAACUAAAAUCACACUAACCUCUUCCCCAGAAGAGGAGGUUAAGUCCUUGAGUGAUGUUUACUUUUCUCCUUGAUAUCUCAUAUGAUGCAUAAUUAAUAAUGCUUAAAUACUAUGAUAUAAAUACAUUAAAUAGAUCUUAAAUAAUUAAAGGUAUUAAUACAAAACUACAGAAGACUUAGCUGACUUUACGAUAUCCAAGGGUGACAAAAACCUCUCAAAACAAAACCUCAGGCCAAACCAUAGAAAAAAUGAUUUUCUACAUAAAUUAUAAAUUUUUUGCAUAUCUAGCAACACUAUAAUCAAGUUUAAAGGCAAAUAACUAAGUAGGAAGAAUUGCACCAAAAUAAAUGGCAAAGGUUUGAUAUUCUUAUAUCAAAAUCAUUUGUGAAUCAUGAA
rnacentral:lncRNA from 1 species